CGGAGAAGGUACCGCGUGGUGUGAUACUAGAGUAGCAGAAAUUAGACAUUUGAAAAGAGCUUGAAAAAUAUAUGGCAAUUACUCUAUCUAUAAGGUUUCUGCUUGGGUGUGCAAUAUAGAAGGAGGCAUGAGGUAUGUGCCAUGCAUUGUUUUAGUUUCCAUGUGCUUGUGACUACAGUUGUUCAGUUAGUUUUUUCUUCUUCUGCGAGUGAGAUUUCAUCCCACAAACCACUAUAAAGGGCUGGUGGCAACUGGCAAAUAUUAUUUAUAUACCUUAAUAUCUGCCAAUCAGAUUGGCACCAUUUAGAACUGAAACAAAUAAUAAUUUGUUGGUCAUUUUGUUUGAUUAUUAGGUGGGGGGCAGUUGGUGUUUUGUAUUGUGAUAUUAGAGCAGUGCAUGUACUUGAUCGAGCGAAUGAGCGCAUUAUAUCUGGAAAUUAUUGCUGAUAAUAAUGCCCAAGUGUAGUUAAAACAAUUUAUCAAUUGUGAUCAACUCUGUGAGCCGUAAGCCCGUAACUAAAUCUAAAAUGUUUUGAGAACCGUGAAAUUAGUAAUUCCAUGUCUCACAAUUAAUCUGCAUACCAGGAGAAACGUAUUGGAUGGGUAUGGAGUAUAUGGAUACAUUUGUCACCAGAUAUGUGAAAUAUAAGUAAGCACCAAGUUACAUGGUGCUGAGCUUGAUUCCUUCAGCCACUGAUAGUAUCUUUUCUACGUUCUAUGGCUUGCUAAUUAGUAUAUAUCAAUGAUCUUAACAGGGCACUCAAGGAGUUCUCUGGGAUGCUCAUAGUGAGUGAAUAUUAGUGAGGAAUCACAUUGUCUAUUCAACCUAACAUUCAAGCCCACAAUUUGGUGUCCUAACAAAACGAUUUUUUCAGGUCUGCUUGAUGGUCAGGAAUAUCGAAAUCUAUAACGCGAGAAGCAAUUUGAGUAUCUUGCACCUAAUCUGACUAAAGCAUGGAAAGAUCAUGCGUUUCCUCCAGAUGACAUCUCAACUCACACCGAUAGGAUCUUCAUAUUCAGUUGCUUCAAGGAAACCGAAAGUGAGGAAGAAAGAAAACAGUAAUUCUGCUUCACGUUCUAGUCCCAGCAUUCUUAAUAGCCAGUAUAUGUCCCAUCUUCCUUCUGUUUUACUUCAAACAUUCAGUUGAUUAGAGUUUGGAUUAAGUAUUCAAGAAGUCAUUACCAACUUCCGUGAGCUGGUGGAGGACUUCUGUGGAAGAAGAAAUCCCUGAUAAUGCAGAUGGUGAUGAUUGGAUAUCAGUUGCACUGAAUGAUGUGAAGGAAUGGAGGGAGUAUGUUCGAUCAAAGGGGAUGUUGCAUGAGAUUCCCAUGGAUAUGUUUACUAGUCUGUUACAUGUGAUAGACUGGCGGGUUAUCAAUAGAUGUAUACGAAAAUCCUGAUGCUGGUCUUCUCUGCUUUGGAGUCAUUUCAUGUGGCGUUAGCAAUCAUGACCAACCGUGAUAUGCCAAAGCAGCUGUAUCAAGAAGAGACACCAGAUAAUGGAUUGUACGGCAGAGCUAUUGGCAAGCCAGCUGGAAAUGUAACUCAUGAUGGAGAUGAAGAUGAAGAAGACAUGUAAAAUGAACCAGCUAGCAACUGCUUCUGAUUUAAGUGCGAGGAAAUCUCCUGCAAACAAAAUUUCUGCUUCUAUAUAUUCUGCUGUGCGGAAACUAUGCUUGAUAUUGGACUUCCUUAAAGAACUCCUCACAACGGUGGGUCAGAUAGUUGUAUCCUGCAAUUAGCGAAAACCUGCUUUUCUACAUUCUUGGUGGACAAUGUGCAGCCUUUUACAACUGAAGGCAAUCGGUGUUAUUUGCACGGUUUUUUCAUCAUACACACAACAUAGGAGUUACUUGGUUGAUGAAACACUUAAUCUUGUCCGCAAGUUACAGUUUUCCAAAAAUGCUAUUAGAACAUCGCUAGUUGGAAGGCAUCCUAAUUCACUUGGUUCAGUGCAAAUGUUCACUUGGAAGGCUAGCUUGAGAGAAAAUUCUCCUGUAAUAAGAGUAAAGGCCUUAUGAGCGGUCAGCAGUUAGUUGAAGGCUUGAAGCUGAUCCUGAGGUAUUAGGUGACAAACGUGUCCAAUCUGCUGUUGAAGGAAGUCUUGUGAUUCAGCUAUUUCUGUUCGUGAAGCUGCACUCGAGCUUGUUGGAAGGCAUAUUGCUUCACACCCUGAUCCUGAAGUAUAUUGAAAAAGUCACUGAACGGACAAAGGACACUGGAGUAAGUGUUCGCAAACGUGUGAUCAAUAGUAUCCGUGAUCUUUGUGCUUCAAGUCGGAAUGCGGAUACAAGAUAUGCCUUUGUGGAGAUUAUUUCGUGUGUUAAUGACGAGGAGUCAAGUGUGCAGGUAAAAGUUUAUGUAUCAAACCAUUAACUGGUGCUCCUGAGUCAUGGCACCACAUUAUCAUAGCAGACUUGAUAUUGUACUAGAGAUGUUUCAUUUAUUGUUGUUUUCUUCAGUGCGGUGUAUGUUGGUGCAUGAACUGAAACAAUCUGUAUAGCUGGAAAAAAAUAGUGGAAGUUAGCUAGUUCCUCUGUGAAAUCCCCUUACAUUUGCAAAAUAAAAAAUUAUCCUUAUCAGCAAAAUUGUAUAUUUAUUACAUAAAGCAAAUGAUUGGAAUUCUUUACACAUGAAAUCUCCUUUGUGUCUCUUAUAGUGUUUUAAGCCCCCCCCCCCCCUGCAUAAUUGACUUUGGUUCUUAACCAUGUUUGUUGUCAAGGUUAAGGGAACUGAUAAUGAGACAAAAAUCCACACGCUUUCUUAUGUUCUUGUCUUGCAAGCAUUUUGUAUUGUCGAUCCCACACUCUGCACUCCAGUAACCGAUCCUUCUCAAUUUGCUGUGACACUUCAACUGUACCUUAAGAAUAAGCACAUUCCAGGAGCGAAGAUAAUGGGUGGUUAGGUAGCAUAAGGGAAAAAAAGUUAUGAGAUUUCUGGCUAUGUUUGUCAUGUCCGCACAGAGGAGGGCCUGAGUGGUGACAGUUAAAGUGGGAUAAGUUUUUAUUAGAAAGAUGGGGUUAUACAUUAGGGCAUCUCCAAUGAUCGUAUGAUCAUCGUUGGUAAAAUUGCCACAUAGAUGAUUUUGAUGACAUGGCGUAUAAUAAAGAAGAGAGAGAACGGCAUCGUAUGAACUUGAAGCAACGGUUCACGCACAAGCUCCGAGGCAAGCAUGGUUAUUUUUUCAAUAUUUAGCGGACCCUCUUAAUUAUUUUACAUACAAUUAACAUACACUUCAUUGAAGAGCUUGUAUGAUAUGUUGUUGGUUGUUGACGUGGACACUUAUACGAACGGUUGAACAUACGGACUGUUGGAGAUGCUCUUAUAGACUGAGAUGCGAGAAAGAACAAUUCGUUGUUUUUGCUUAAUACCUAUUCUUAUUCCAGUCUGUUGCAGCCCUCUCAUGUCACUUGCAUCAGUUGCAUCAGGGUUAGGCAUGCACAUGGACCAAGAGGUUAUAUGAUUUUUGUCUUCUGAUUCGCUUGGAUCUGCUUAUUACUUUCCUUUUGAUGGACAAUACUGAAAGUCAUUGAUAUUUCUGACCAUAGAUUUGGACCUGAAAGCCAUUGAUAUUUCUUUUCUUAGCUGUGGACCUGAAAGCCAUGUUGCCAGUUUAACAACCUGUAGUUCUUUUUGUUGUUGCUGCCAAAAUCGGCCAAAACAUUGGCAGCCAAUAUUUUUGUUGGGGUUGCCUUGGGCUCAAGCAAAACAUACCGUAUAUUUUAGCUCCUCACAUGCAAUUUUGAUGCAUGGGUAAUUCCUGCUCGUUCUUUCUGAUGGCCAGGGUUCACCCAUGCUCUGUUGCUGGACAAGUGCAUAUGCCUUCCGCAUUUCACUGUUGUUUCAUGUUCAAGGAUCGACAAUCUCCACUCACAGGAGUAUCCCUGGCUGCGUUAUCUUUGUGAUGAUUCUUAGAAGUGCAGGGAUGCGGAGGGUCUUCAGGCCACUGGCAUUGGGGUGUACAUCAGGAGAAACCUUGAUAGCAUGGAUUACUUCCAUCAUGAUACAAGCAUCGGCCCCACAAGCAUCUUCAGCCUUCCAGGCAGAAGCCAAUAUCCUUCUGAUCAGUGCCUAACUUUCCAUGGUAACUAGGUUCUUGCGGUGGCGGCCGCCAGGAAAUUAGACCAUCCACUGAUGCGUUGGGACACUAGGGAUAUAAUUGCAAAUUUUCUCCAAGCCACUCGUACAGCUUUAGUGCACAUAUUUCAUCAAGAGGGAGCUCAAUGGUGUGGCAAAUAACUGUGCACAACAGGUUCUAAGGCGAAGCCUUGAUCAAUACUUAUGCUCUAAUUCAGCCCAUUUCUCAACAUGUUGUCCUGUUCUGCUUGCUCUUCAGUCUGCUACUCCAUUGCACAGCAUUGUAAUAAACGAUGUAUUAUGUUGUAGAGUUGAAUGCAAUGUGGCACCCCUGGCGCCCGUGCUGUUCAAAAAGAAAAAGAAAAGAAAAAUCCCCAUGA